rnacentral:lncRNA from 1 species
UUACCCUGAAAACUUACAUUCAUCCUUUUGAAAACACCAGAAUGCUGCCAGUAACUGGCCACUCACUUUAAAGUCACAGAAGCUUUCUGGUCCCAAGAUUUCAUUUGAUAGCAACCACUGACUGAAUUGUGCCUUCUAGCAUUAUAGACAACGGGUAAAAAGCCAUGACACCUGGUCUUCCCUUCAGUAUCUACAAAUCAUGGAGUCUCAAAACAAAAAGAAUGCAUUUAUGUUUAGAGUUAAGUGUAGUCAUAGUGAUAAAUGCCAUCUGCCCAAUAGUAUAAGUGUAUUUUUUAGUGGUUUUCUUUGUCUGUUGGUCUGAAAGGAGCCGUGGAGAUAUUGGUUCUGCUCCUUUUACUGUCAUUUCCAGUAGCAAGAAACUGAGACUUGUACAACUCUGGUGUGAUGAGCUUUGUUUUUAUCUUAUAUUUUAUUUUGUUGUUCUUUUUUUUAAUGAAGGAAGGAAGGAAAACCUAAAUGACUGGUUUUUCUCUAUUGCCUUCUCUAGGUGGGGUCUGGGAUUUUUGUGGAUUUGUUUGUUCAUUUUUUAGAUUUAAUUCAAGCUGGAUUUAGGGAUAUAUAACCUUGUCUUAUUUUAGAGAAAUGUUGGGAUCAAAAUUGUCUUUUUAAUGGUAGCGAUUCUUUUAAAAAUUAAUAUCUUUUAAUAUACAGUCAUUAGAAGACUAGAAAAAGAAACAUAUCCAAUUCUCCCAUGCCGUAUCUGCAGUGUGCUGAAUGUGCAUCUUCUGCCUCUGUGAUUGUUUGCGUGGUCAUAACCAUGGGGCUGUAAUAGCCUCUGAUGUUGGUGACACAUGCCGAGUACUCUCACCUUACUUCCUAAUUAGCUACUUGCUUAGUUGUCUAAUAGUGUGUCAAACUUUGUUUUGUACAGAAAUAUUCCAUGGACAUUCAUAAAUAAUAUAUACCCUUUCUGAAGAGUGACUCCAAAAGAACUAUUUUGUUAGAUAAACACAUUAAUGAGAACAUUCCAAGGUCAGAUGAAACUGUGGUAAACAAAGAGCCAGUAAAACUACUAGCUGAUGAGAAAAAAAAAAUGGGAUAUAGGAUCGUGCUCAGUGGUAAUCCACUUGCCUACCAUUUGUAAGGCAGGAAACAAACAAGGAAACAUG